CGAUUUCCGAAUGGGGAAACCCAGUGUGUUUCGACACACUAUCAUUAACUGAAUCCAUAGGUUAAUGAGGCGAACCGGGGGAACUGAAACAUCUAAGUACCCCGAGGAAAAGAAAUCAACCGAGAUUCCCCCAGUAGCGGCGAGCGAACGGGGAGCAGCCCAGAGCCUGAAUCAGUAUGUGUGUUAGUGGAAGCGUCUGGAAAGGCGCGCGAUACAGGGUGACAGCCCCGUACACAAAAAUGCACAUGCUGUGAGCUCGAUGAGUAGGGCGGGACACGUGGUAUCCUGUCUGAAUAUGGGGGGACCAUCCUCCAAGGCUAAAUACUCCUGACUGACCGAUAGUGAACCAGUACCGUGAGGGAAAGGCGAAAAGAACCCCGGCGAGGGGAGUGAAAAAGAACCUGAAACCGUGUACGUACAAGCAGUGGGAGCACGCUUAGGCGUGUGACUGCGUACCUUUUGUAUAAUGGGUCAGCGACUUAUAUUCUGUAGCAAGGUUAACCGAAUAGGGGAGCCGAAGGGAAACCGAGUCUUAACUGGGCGUUAAGUUGCAGGGUAUAGACCCGAAACCCGGUGAUCUAGCCAUGGGCAGGUUGAAGGUUGGGUAACACUAACUGGAGGACCGAACCGACUAAUGUUGAAAAAUUAGCGGAUGACUUGUGGCUGGGGGUGAAAGGCCAAUCAAACCGGGAGAUAGCUGGUUCUCCCCGAAAGCUAUUUAGGUAGCGCCUCGUGAAUUCAUCUCCGGGGGUAGAGCACUGUUUCGGCAAGGGGGUCAUCCCGACUUACCAACCCGAUGCAAACUGCGAAUACCGGAGAAUGUUAUCACGGGAGACACACGGCGGGUGCUAACGUCCGUCGUGAAGAGGGAAACAACCCAGACCGCCAGCUAAGGUCCCAAAGUCAUGGUUAAGUGGGAAACGAUGUGGGAAGGCCCAGACAGCCAGGAUGUUGGCUUAGAAGCAGCCAUCAUUUAAAGAAAGCGUAAUAGCUCACUGGUCGAGUCGGCCUGCGCGGAAGAUGUAACGGGGCUAAACCAUGCAC
rnacentral:rRNA from 1 species